rnacentral:lncRNA from 1 species
GGGUAGCUGGGGUGGGCGGUGGAGGGCUAGGUGUGCUCGGGGUGUAUGGCGGUGGUGGACUAGGUGUUGCAUGUGUGGGCGGCGGAGGACUAGGUGUGCUAGGGGCGUAUGGCGGCGGAGGGCUACCUGUGGACGGGACCGGGUUGGGAUACCCGUAGCCUGCUUGGCAGGUACGCGCCGUGCAGGCGAGCAGGGCGAUGAGAGUCAGGACGGCGGCGAGCUUGGCCAUGGUGGUCGCUAGCUCGGGGGGCUGAUCCUAGUGCUUGUCGUGAUCAGCUCAGCUUGGGUGAUGACUGAUGAGAAGACACGCUGCUCUGCCUGCCUAUUUGUAGCUUGCUAGCUC